CAAAGAACCAAAUCGUCCACAUAUUGCAACAAAGUAGAGUCUCUAGGAAGCUUUAUAUCAUCUAGAUCAGCCUUCAGGAUUUUCUGAGAAAUAAGGG